AGCGAACGCUGGCGGCAGGCUUAACACAUGCAAGUCGAACGCUCGUUUUCGGACGGGAGUGGCAGACGGGUGAGUAACGCGUAGGAACGUACCCUUUGGUUCGGGACAACGCCGGGAAACUGGCGCUAAUACCGGAUACGCCCUUUUGGGGAAAGAUUUAUUGCCGAGGGAUCGGCCCGCGUCGGAUUAGCUAGUUGGUGAGGUAACGGCUCACCAAGGCGACGAUCCGUAGCUGGUCUGAGAGGAUGAUCAGCCACACUGGGACUGAGACACGGCCCAGACUCCUACGGGAGGCAGCAGUGGGGAAUAUUGGACAAUGGGCGCAAGCCUGAUCCAGCCAUGCCGCGUGAGUGAUGAAGGCCUUAGGGUUGUAAAGCUCUUUCGCACGCGACGAUAAUGACGGUAACCGGAGAAGAAGCCCCGGCUAACUUCGUGCCAGCCGCCGCGGUAAAAC
rnacentral:rRNA from 1 species